GAAUCGAGAUUGUUCCUUCAUUUUGCUUUCUUUCUUUAGUUGAUUUUGCUUCAUUUCCAAGUUAAGAUGAUACCAUCCUAUAUAAGAGAUUCGUAGCUUUGGAUUUGGUCCACUCGUAGUAGUAAACAGAGGAAGAAAAUGGCGUCUCAGAUAUUCAUACCAUCAGGAAACGCCACUAUUGGUAGCCGAAACGCGGUUUAUGUGGCGGCAGUGCCACUCAAAGCGGCGGCUGGUCCGCCGCAGCUUGUUAUGUCGAUGGCUUACUCACUUAAUCUAUGGAAUUUACAGCAUUUCAUGGUCCUCAUCAAACCUUCUUCUCCAACUCCUCGAGAGGUAAUGGUGUUUGAUUUCCAGCCUGUUAAUCCAGAAAGCAUAGAAGCAGCAAUCUCAAUUUUACUUAGAAACUCGAUUCCAGGUUCUAAUUCCCAGACAAUCAUAUCGAAUGAGUAGUGAUGCAAAGAAAGUUGAAGAAUGUUCCUAAACAAAGAUGUUGGAUGGUUGGAUCAUCCAAAGUGAAUAAUGCAAUUGAAAUGGCAAUUGAGUUUAAUAACUCAUGGGAGACUGAUCUUAGAGUUGGCUCUCAUGAUUGCAGACAUUAUACCAAUGAACUUGUCCAACAUCUUACCGGAGAAAUACAAAUUGUGGAGCAACUCCAAAGAAGCUACAUCAGUUAAUAAUCACCUCAAUAAUUAGUUGAAACGUAUGUUCACUUGUCUACCAAAUUUAAUUGGCCAGCACUUGUAUAUUUUAAGUUUAACCUAGUAGUAGUACUUAGAAUUUAUCAAAAAAAAAUAUCUGAAAUGACAAGUACUCAAACCAACAUUAUUCUCCUUACAUUGGUGGUUAAUAACCAAACACAAGAAACUCAAAACUUAUUAUAAA